rnacentral:rRNA from 1 species
GGCGGAGGAAAAGAAACUAACAAGGAUUCCCCUAGUAACUGCGAGUGAAGCGGGAAAAGCUCAAAUUUAAAAUCUGGCGGUCUCUGGCCGUCCGAGUUGUAAUCUAGAGAAGUAAUGCCCGUGCUGGACCGUGUAUAAGUCUCCUGGGAUGGAGCGUCAUAGAGGGUGAGAAUCCCGUCUUUGACACGGACUACCAGUGCAUUGUGGUAUGCUCUCAAAGAGUCGAGUUGUUUGGGAAUGCAGCUCAAAAUGGGUGGUAAAUUCCAUCUAAAGCUAAAUAUUGGCGAGAGACCGAUAGCGAACAAGUACCGUGAGGGAAAGAUGAAAAGAACUUUGGAAAGAGAGUUAAACAGUACGUGAAAUUGCUGAAAGGGAAACGCUUGAAGUCAGUCGCGUUGGCCAGGGAUCAGCCUUGCUUUUGCAUGGUGUACUUUCUGGUUGACGGGUCAGCAUCAAUUUUGACCGCUGGAAAAGGGCCUGGGGAAUGUGGCAGCUUCGGCUGUGUUAUAGCCCCUGGUCGCAUACAGUGGUUGGGAUUGAGGAACUCAGCACGCCGCAAGGCCGGGUUUCGACCACGUUCGUGCUUAGGAUGCUGGCAUAAUGGCUUUAAGCGACCCGUCUUGAAACACGGACCAAGGAGUCUAACAUGCCUGCGAGUAUUUGGGUGGAAAACCCAAGUGCGUAAUGAAAGUGAAAGUUGAGAUCCCUGUCGUGGGGAGCAUCGACGCCCGGACCAGAACUUUUGGGACGGAUCCGCGGUGGAGCAUGUAUGUUGGGACCCGAAAGAUGGUGAACUAUGCCUGAAUAGGGUGAAGCCAGAGGAAACUCUGGUGGAGGCUCGUAGCGAUUCUGACGUGCAAAUCGAUCGUCAAAUUUGGGUAUAGGGGCGAAAGACUAAUCGAACCAUCUAGUAGCUGGU